rnacentral:lncRNA from 1 species
UGAUUUGAUAUAGAAUUUAUGAAUCAUUAAACCAAUAACACAUAAUUUUAAUACAGAUUUGAAAAUCAUAGAACCAAUAACACUAGAUUUAGUUCGGAUUUUCAAAUCCAUUAAAAUACAACAACCAAUAACCCCUACUUAAUUAAGCAUCUCAUUAAAAAAACAAUUAGUAUUAUAUAUUAGGGCAAAUCUCCAAAAUAGCACUUUUCUAAGUUUAUAUCACAAAAAUAGCACUCAAAAACUAAAAUGACCAAAAUAGCAUAUUUCUAAGUUUAUCCUUUGAAAAUUUUAAUUUUUUUAUUUUUCGAAAUUUGAAAUCUUAUCCCCAAAACCUCAUUUCUCAACUUUAAACCCUAAACCCUAAACUCUAAACCCUAAACCCUAAACUAUAAACCAUAAACCCUAAACUCUAAACCCUAAACCCUAAACUUUAAACCCUAAACCCUAAAAUCUAAACCCUAAACCCUAAAAUCUAAACCCUAAACUCUAAACCCUAAACCCUAAACCCUAAAUC